AUCCGUAGCUCAGUCGGUCAGAGCAGGAGACUCAUAAUCUCUGGGGCGCUGGUUCAAGUCCAGCCGGAUCC
rnacentral:tRNA from 1 species